UACGUAGGGGGCGAGCGUUGUCCGGAUUUAUUGGGCGUAAAGGGUUCGCAGGCGGUCUCUUAAGUUAGAUGUGAAAGAUCACGGCUCAACCGUGGUAAGCAUUUAAAACUGGGAGACUUGAGUUAAGGAGAGGAAAGUGGAAUUCCUAGUGUAGCGGUGAAAUGCGUAGAUAUUAGGAGGAAUACCAGUGGCGAAGGCGACUUUCUGGACUUAUACUGACGCUGAGGAACGAAAGCGUGGGGAGCAAACA
rnacentral:rRNA from 1 species